UUUAACUUAAAAAGUGAAGCAAAAGUACCCGAUCCCUUAUCGAACUCGAGUGUAUAUUCGUCUUAACUGAAACUACUAUUUUUAUGGAAUUUUCAGAAAGUUAAA
rnacentral:rRNA from 1 species